AAUCCAUAGGUUAAUGAGGCGAACCGGGGGAACUGAAACAUCUAAGUACCCCGAGGAAAAGAAAUCAACCGAGAUUCCCCCAGUAGCGGCGAGCGAACGGGGAGGAGCCCAGAGCCUGAAUCAGCAUGUGUGUUAGUGGAAGCGUCUGGAAAGGCGCGCGAUACAGGGUGACAGCCCCGUACACAAAAGCGCAUGUGCUGUGAGCUCGAUGAGUAGGGCGGGACACGUGGUAUCCUGUCUGAAUAUGGGGGGACCAUCCUCCAAGGCUAAAUACUCCUGACUGACCGAUAGUGAACCAGUACCGUGAGGGAAAGGCGAAAAGAACCCCGGCGAGGGGAGUGAAAAAGAACCUGAAACCGUGUACGUACAAGCAGUGGGAGCCCCACCACUAAGCCAGUGGUGAACUCCACAUACGCAUCCUUUGCUGAGGAUACGGUUAACGGAGCGAAAGCGACGUUCAACCGCAAAAGAAGCAGAGGGGGCUUAGUGGUGGGGUGACUGCGUACCUUUUGUAUAAUGGGUCAGCGACUUAUAUUCUGUAGCAAGGUUAACCGAAUAGGGGAGCCGGAGGGAAACCGAGUCUUAAUUGGGCGUUAAGUUGCAGGGUAUAGACCCGAAACCCGGUGAUCUAGCCAUGGGCAGGUUGAAGGUUGGGUAACACUAACUGGAGGACCGAACCGACUAAUGUUGAAAAAUUAGCGGAUGACCUGUGGCUGGGGGUGAAAGGCCAAUCAAACCGGGAGAUAGCUGGUUCUCCCCGAAAGCUAUUUAGGUAGCGCCUCGUGAAUUCAUCUCCGGGGGUAGAGCACUGUUUCGGCUAGGGGGCCAUCCCGGCUUACCAACCCGAUGCAAACUGCGAAUACCGGAGAAUGUUAUCACGGGAGACACACGGCGGGUGCUAACGUCCGUCGUGAAGAGGGAAACAACCCAGACCGCCAGCUAAGGUCCCAAAGUCAUGGUUAAGUGGGAAACGAUGUGGGAAGGCCCAGACAGCCAGGAUGUUGGCUUAGAAGCAGCCAUCAUUUAAAGAAAGCGUAAUAGCUCACUGGUCGAGUCGGCCUGCGCGGAAGAUGUAACGGGGCUAAACCAUGCACCGAAGCUGCGGCAGCGAACGUAUCACUUAAAGCGAUUCAGCGGGUUACGAUUGACGGAGCGAAGCGACGUCAAAGCGUAUACAAAGUCGAGUCGGUUUAAGGAUACGUUCGUUGGGUAGGGGAGCGUUCUGUAAGCCUG
rnacentral:rRNA from 1 species